UCGAUCACAAAAGUCUGCGUCGAUCGAUGGUGCUGAUGGCGAUCGAUUUUGAGGUAGUGGUGGUGGUUGAUGUUGAGGUCGUGGUGUUGAUCGAUGCUGACCUCGUGUCACUAAUGUCGGCUUCUUCUACUCUGAUCAGCUCUCCAGAUCCAUGUUGUUCAUCAUCCUCUGCCAUAAUGUAGUUGACCAGUUGUCUUGGAAUCAGAUCUUCCCUCUUUAUCUGCCAACUUUCAAUGAGCAUGUCCCCCU
rnacentral:lncRNA from 1 species